rnacentral:rRNA from 1 species
GUGGGGAAUAUUGGGCAAUGGGGGAAACCCUGACCCAGCGACGCCGCGUGAGGGAAGAAGGCCUUAGGGUCGUAAACCUCUGUUGUGUGGGAAGAAGAGCGUGACGGUACCACACGAGGAAGUCCCGGCUAACUACGUGCCAGCAGCCGCGGUAAUACGUAGGGGACGAGCGUUGUCCGGAUUGACUGGGCGUAAAGGGCGCGUAGGCGGUCAUUUAAGUCAGCUGUGAAAUGGUUUGGCUUAACCGGAUCAUGCGGUUGAAACUGGAUGACUGGAGUGCUGGCGAGGCAAGGGGAAUUCCCAGUGUAGCGGUGAAAUGCGUAGAUAUUGGGAAGAACACCGGUGGCGAAGGCGACUUGCUGGCCAGCAACUGACGCUGAGGCGCGAAAGCCAGGGGAGCAAACGGGAUUAGAUACCCGGGUAGUCC